rnacentral:rRNA from 1 species
GUGUCAGCAGCCGCGGUAAUACGGAGGAUGCAAGCGUUAUCCGGAAUUAUUGGGCGUAAAGCGUCCGUAGGUGGCUAUUCAAGUCAGAUGUUAAAGCGUGGGGCUUAACUCCAUAAAGGCAUCUGAAACUGAUUGGCUAGAGUGCGAUAGGGGCAAGGGGAAUUUCCAGUGUAGCGGUGAAAUGCGUAGAUAUUGGAAAGAACACCGGUGGCGAAAGCGCCUUGCUGGGUCUGCACUGACACUGAGGGACGAAAGCUAGGGGAGCGAAAGGGAUUAGAAACCCGCGUAGUCC